rnacentral:misc_RNA from 1 species
AAGUCGUAACAAGGUUUCCGUAGGUGAACCUGCGGAAGGAUCAUUAAUGAAAACUUCAGGAGUUGCUGCUGGCCUCUUUCAUCGGAGGCACUCCGUGCACGCUCCGCUAUUUUCCCCACUCACACCUUUUGUGCACCUUUUUUCUCUCCCGUGUGGGAAGAGUCGAGGAACGGACGUGGAGAGGAGCGGGGUUCGUCCUCGCACUCCACGGGGUUCUCCUCCUCCCCGGGCGAUUCACAAGCUCUACGAAAUAUCAAGAACGAAGUGUUUAUUUCUGUAAACAAACUUAACAACUUUCAACAACGGAUCUCUUGGCUCUC